rnacentral:tRNA from 3 species
AGGGUUGUAGUUAAGUAUAACAUUUGGGUUGCAUUCAAAAAGUAUUGAAAUAUCAAUCAACCUUA